rnacentral:rRNA from 1 species
GACAGAGGGUGCAAACGUUGCUCGGAAUCACUGGGCGUAAAGCGCGUGUAGGCGGGAAUGUAAGUCGGGCGUGAAAGCCCCAGGCUCAACCUGGGAACUGCACUCGAAACUGCGUUUCUUGAGUAUCGGAGAGGAAAGCGGAAUACCUGGUGUAGAGGUGAAAUUCGUAGAUAUCAGGAAGAACACCCGUGGCGAAGGCGGUUCUCUGGGACGGUACUGACGCUGAGACGCGAAAGCGUGGGGAGCGAACAGG